rnacentral:lncRNA from 1 species
AACUAUGUUAACAAUAACAACAUCAAAGUUAAUAUACAUUUAAAUUUAACAAAUAAUAACUAAACAUUGUAAAGAUUUAAAUAUGUAUAAUUAAGAUUAACAUUAAUAUAGAGAAGAUAGUAAAAAUAUACAUUCUUCUAAUGUCUAUAGGUUUUUUGUUUAUAGCAUGACUUCCGUACAUUGCCUAUGUCAGAGGGGCGAUCUUGUUGAUGGGUUUAACAUCAGAGGUUCUGUUCAUAAAAACCAUAAUGGCUUCAGCAAUUCUUCCUCUCUUAGGGUCUUGUUGUUCCCAGAGUAGUUUGGCAUUAUUCCAUUCGAUGGAUAAGUCAGUUAUUUGGGCCCUUUGUGCUAAGGCUGUCGAGUCUCUUCUUUUCUCAAUGUCAUUUUCGUGUUCUUCUGACCAUUUAGCAUGGG